rnacentral:pre_miRNA from 1 species
UUUGCGGCCGCCUCUUAUUCGCUUGGUGCAGGUCGGGACCUCAUUCGCCGGCGCCGGAAAUAAUGACGGACGACGGCGGUGUUAAUUCUACUAAGUUGUCAACGACGAAUAUAUUUUGAUUAGCGGCGAAAUUUGGGUCCUGCCUUGCAUCAACUGAAUUGGAGACAGCUGUGAAU